CAUCCCUGCUCUACCCAGGGAUAAACAAAAUAAACUGGAAUCCACUGAGGGGCAAACUGUGGGCAGGAUGUGCCCCACACACUCACUGCCACAUUCCAAUCUGAACUAAAGCCUGCACCUGCUAAAAGGUGCCUUUUUUACAUAUGUAAAAUAAAAAGCCAAACUAUUUGGCUUUUAAAGGCAUUCAUGAGUUUCUGCCUCUUUAUCCUGACUCCAUUUUCACCCUUGGAUGUCUACGGAGCAGCAUUGAUUACUGGAUCCUGAGCCUGACCCAGAUUAAAAGAGAAACAUUAUACAAAUUUGCUAUUUAUUUUUGUCUGCCUCUUACUGAGGCUCUGGCUGACAGCUUGCAGGAGGCAGGCUGGAACAGGUCAGCACAUGCCCCAAGCCCAGUCUGUCACUGAGUCCAUGGAACUGGAGGCUGCCUUGGCUUUCUGUAGUUUAUAGCACUGCAGUGAACCACAGUCUCCCUCCCCACAAAAUGGGUCAGGCAUGAGAAUGCUCUUAUUUAAUUACUCAAGGGAAAUAUUGACACUUUUAAUUCAUUUUCAUUUCCUUUCUUGUCAAUAUCUCUCCUUUCUUUACUAUCCCUUUUGUGUGCGCUUGCAAAUCUUCCUUUUAGGAAAACCACUGCAGAGACUCUUAUUUCUCCCCCAAUAUAUAUUUAAUUCCCUCUUCCUUAUUGCCCUUUAACACAAACAUGAGUCUGCUCCUUAGACAAACAAUCCUUAUGAUAACUGUUGAAAGCCUCCCCUUGCUCAGAUGGAAAGUUAAAAUUUGGAGAUGAAAGAAAAAUCUUCUUGCGAUCAUAUCCUUCCCCCCAGAGUUAACUGGCUAACUGAGAAAAAAUAUUAAUUAAAAUUUUAUUAUUUGCCUAUGCUAAAUAUUGACUUUCUAUCUAAUCCUUCAGCUGUGUGACACUCUACUAAUGAGGCAUCGUGGGCAGUGCAUUCCUUUGUUUAUUUGGUACAAUCAUGAUUACUGGAAUGGGCAGUGCCCCGAGGAAAACGCAGCUCAGCUUUGCACUCAUCCAGGACAGAAAUUUCUGGCUGCACACACAGAAGGGGGCCCUACAUCAAAAUGCUGCUGACCAGAGAUCUGACCUUAUCUGUGGAUCCAGCUUCUUCUCAGUCAAGUGAUAAAAAUGGCAUGAGAUCUGUAAAGAAAAGUAUUUUAAUUGGCAUUGCUGUCUGGAAAUGACAUUUUGAAAAGGAAUGCCAGGAAAAUCUGAAUUUUGGCUGAGUACAAGUUCCAUAAAACCUUUACAAUUUUUCUUUAUUAACUAUAGAAAGGAAAAAGAAUUGAAGAUUUCCAUAAUGGGAUACAUAUUCUGACCCUUAUCAGCACAAGCCUUGACAAGGGAAAUUUAAGGAGACAAAUGAGAACCAGCUGCUUCCAUAAGUGAUGAUGGAACCACAGAGCCAGAUGGACCCUGAGCAAAGUGGAUCUUAAAGAAAUCGUCACUCACCUUUCACUAUGCACAGUAAAUAAACUGAUCCGGAGCUACAAAUACAAAAUAGAUUUUUUUCACCCAAUAAGUUGUAAGUUAUGUUUAAAACAUAUGGGAUGUAUUAGAGAUGCAAAUAAAGCUGUGUGUUAAUUAUUGUAUAAAAUAUCAACUACAGAAGAUCUGUCAGUUUUUGGGACAAACAAGUGUUAUUGUCAUGCAACGUGCAGUAAAUGUAGGGGAUCUGAGAGAUAUCUCAUAAAAUAUUCUAUGAACUUUGUCACCACAGACAUCAGGCAUAUUUACAUUUAUAGCUGAUUUUUUGUGAGGUUUUAAUUACUGUAAGGAAGGCUACACCUAUCUGUCAUGCAACUCUACCACCAUCUCUGACAUAUAAACUUAGAAGUAUUUCUUUCUCCAAAUGCUCUCACAUACCCAACAAACAGAAAUCUGCAGAUUGUGCCUUGCUGUGACCAAAGAUUUGGUUUUUCCUUUCCAACAUUUAGGUGUGCAGUCUGUCAACAUACUGAGCACUGAACUAUCCUCUGCCUUAUACACUAGGAAUAAUUUCAGGAAGAUAAAUCUGCAGCCUGUUGCUCUGUUUACAUCAUUAACCUCUUAGCCUCAGCUUACAAUCAUUCCUUUUAUUUCCCAAAACUGGUUUUUGUUUGCUUUCAAGUCCAAGGUCACCUCCCAGUUGAACCAAACCCUUUGGAUGUGCUAGUUCCUGACUCACUGAUGGACUCUGUGGCUGCAUUUCCAAUCAAGUGCACUCAGACAUUCCCACAUGGAGCCUGCUUGGGGUGGUACUGAGGGACAACUGUGAUGAUUUUCCUUUCUUUAUUUUUUCUUACUGUGUAAAACUCCUGACAAUAAUUAGGCUGCGUAUUUCUACAUUUUUUUACAUCAACAUCUAUUUUACUUCUACCCACUGGAAAUGUGUGGAGAAGACAAAGGUGUGCAGCAACAGGAAGCACAGGGGCACAGGAAAUUCUGGUUUAAUAUUAGGGUUUUAACUCUUUUUUCGCUAUCAGAAGUGUGCUUAAACAUGUCAAGCACAGAUGCUGAGGAAUUGACAUCUCUCAAUACAUUCAAACUGGCUGGAGCGACCUGGCCUAAU